UACGGGGGGGGCAAGCGUUGUUCGGAAUUACUGGGCGUAAAGGGUUUGUAGGUGGCUUGCUAAGUCAGACGUGAAAUCCCUCAGCUUAACUGGGGAACUGCGUCUGAUACUGGCGAGCUUGAGUGCAGGAGAGGAACGCGGAAUUCCAGGUGUAGCGGUGAAAUGCGUAGAUAUCUGGAGGAACACCGGUGGCGAAGGCGGCGUUCUGGCCUGUUCUUGACGCUGAGGCGCGAAAGCUAGGGGAGCAAACGGG
rnacentral:rRNA from 1 species